UACCAGCACCCCGAGUGGUCGGGACGAUUAUUGGGCCUAAAGCAUCCGUAGCCGGUUCUGCAAGUCUUCCGUUAAAUCCACCUGCUUAACAGAUGGGCCGCGGAAGAUACUAUAGAGCUAGGAGGCGGGAGAGGCAAGCGGUACUCGAUGGGUAGGGGUAAAAUCCGUUGAUCCAUUGAAGACCACCAGUGGCGAAGGCGGCUUGCCAGAACGCGCUCGACGGUGAGGGAUGAAAGCUGGGGGAGCAAACCGG
rnacentral:rRNA from 1 species